rnacentral:rRNA from 1 species
GGGUUGUGAGGUUAAGCGACUAAGCGUACACGGUGGAUGCCCUGGCAGUCAGAGGCGAUGAAGGACGUGCUAAUCUGCGAAAAGCGUCGGUAAGGUGAUAUGAACCGUUAUAGCCGGCGAUGUCCGAAUGGGGAAACCCAGUGCAAUUCGUUGCACUAUCGUUAACUGAAUACAUAGGUUAACGAGGCGAACCGGGGGAACUGAAACAUCUAAGUACCCCGAGGAAAAGAAAUCAACCGAGAUUCCCCCAGUAGCGGCGAGCGAACGGGGAGCAGCCCAGAGUCUGAAUCAGCUUGUGUGUUAGUGGAACGGUCUGGAAAGUCCGACGGUACAGGGUGAUAGUCCCGUACACCAAAAUGCACAGGCUGUGAACUCGAAGAGUAGGGCGGGACACGUGGUAUCCUGUCUGAAUAUGGGGGGACCAUCCUCCAAGGCUAAAUACUCCUGACUGACCGAUAGUGAACCAGUACCGUGAGGGAAAGGCGAAAAGAACCCCGGCGAGGGGAGUGAAAAAGAACCUGAAACCGUGUACGUACAAGCAGUGGGAGCACCUUCGGGUGUGACUGCGUACCUUUUGUAUAAUGGGUCAGCGACUUAUAUUCUGUAGCAAGGUUAACCGUAUAGGGGAGCCGCAGGGAAACCGAGUCUUAACUGGGCGUUAAGUUGCAGGGUAUAGACCCGAAACCCGGUGAUCUAGCCAUGGGCAGGUUGAAGGUUGGGUAACACUAACUGGAGGACCGAACCGACUAAUGUUGAAAAAUUAGCGGAUGACUUGUGGCUGGGGGUGAAAGGCCAAUCAAACCGGGAGAUAGCUGGUUCUCCCCGAAAGCUAUUUAGGUAGCGCCUCGUGAACUCAUCUUCGGGGGUAGAGCACUGUUUCGGCUAGGGGGUCAUCCCGACUUACCAACCCGAUGCAAACUACGAAUACCGAAGAAUGUUAUCACGGGAGACACACGGCGGGUGCUAACGUCCGUCGUGAAGAGGGAAACAACCCAGACCGCCAGCUAAGGUCCCAAAGUCAUGGUUAAGUGGGAAACGAUGUGGGAAGGCACAGACAGCCAGGAUGUUGGCUUAGAAGCAGCCAUCAUUUAAAGAAAGCGUAAUAGCUCACUGGUCGAGUCGGCCUGCGCGGAAGAUGUAACGGGGCUAAACCAUGCACCGAAGCUGCGGCAGCGACACUAUGUGUUGUUGGGUAGGGGAGCGUUCUGUAAGCCUGCGAAGGUGUGCUGUGAGGCAUGCUGGAGGUAUCAGAAGUGCGAAUGCUGACAUAAGUAACGAUAAAGCGGGUGAAAAGCCCGCUCGCCGGAAGACCAAGGGUUCCUGUCCAACGUUAAUCGGGGCAGGGUGAGUCGACCCCUAAGGCGAGGCCGAAAGGCGUAGUCGAUGGGAAACAGGUUAAUAUUCCUGUACUUGGUGUUACUGCGAAGGGGGGACGGAGAAGGCUAUGUUAGCCGGGCGACGGUUGUCCCGGUUUAAGCAUGUAGGCUGGUUAUCCAGGCAAAUCCGGAUAAUCAAGGCUGAGGUGUGAUGACGAGGCACUACGGUGCUGAAGUAACAAAUGCCCUGCUUCCAGGAAAAGCCUCUAAGCAUCAGGUAACAUCAAAUCGUACCCCAAACCGACACAGGUGGUCAGGUAGAGAAUACCAAGGCGCUUGAGAGAACUCGGGUGAAGGAACUAGGCAAAAUGGUGCCGUAACUUCGGGAGAAGGCACGCUGGUGUGUAGGUGAAGUCCCUGCGGAUGGAGCUGAGACCAGUCGAAGAUACCAGCUGGCUGCAACUGUUUAUUAAAAACACAGCACUGUGCAAACACGAAAGUGGACGUAUACGGUGUGACGCCUGCCCGGUGCCGGAAGGUUAAUUGAUGGGGUUAUCCGUAAGGAGAAGCUCUUGAUCGAAGCCCCGGUAAACGGCGGCCGUAACUAUAACGGUCCUAAGGUAGCGAAAUUCCUUGUCGGGUAAGUUCCGACCUGCACGAAUGGCGUAAUGAUGGCCAGGCUGUCUCCACCCGAGACUCAGUGAAAUUGAACUCGCUGUGAAGAUGCAGUGUACCCGCGGCAAGACGGAAAGACCCCGUGAACCUUUACUAUAGCUUGACACUGAACAUUGAGCCUUGAUGUGUAGGAUAGGUGGGAGGCUUUGAAGCGUGGACGCCAGUCUGCGUGGAGCCAACCUUGAAAUACCACCCUUUAAUGUUUGAUGUUCUAACGUUGGCCCCUGACCGGGGUUGCGGACAGUGUCUGGUGGGUAGUUUGACUGGGGCGGUCUCCUCCCAAAGCGUAACGGAGGAGCACGAAGGUUAGCUAAUCCUGGUCGGACAUCAGGAGGUUAGUGCAAUGGCAUAAGCUAGCUUGACUGCGAGCGUGACGGCGCGAGCAGGUGCGAAAGCAGGUCAUAGUGAUCCGGUGGUUCUGAAUGGAAGGGCCAUCGCUCAACGGAUAAAAGGUACUCCGGGGAUAACAGGCUGAUACCGCCCAAGAGUUCAUAUCGACGGCGGUGUUUGGCACCUCGAUGUCGGCUCAUCACAUCCUGGGGCUGAAGUAGGUCCCAAGGGUAUGGCUGUUCGCCAUUUAAAGUGGUACGCGAGCUGGGUUUAGAACGUCGUGAGACAGUUCGGUCCCUAUCUGCCGUGGGCGCUGGAGAAUUGAGGGGGGCUGCUCCUAGUACGAGAGGACCGGAGUGGACGCAUCACUGGUGUUCGGGUUGUCAUGCCAAUGGCACUGCCCGGUAGCUAAAUGCGGAAGAGAUAAGUGCUGAAAGCAUCUAAGCACGAAACUUGCCCCGAGAUGAGUUCUCCCUGAGACUUUAAGUCUCCUGAAGGAACGUUAAAGACGAUGACGUUGAUAGGCCGGGUGUGUAAGCGCAGCGAUGCGUUGAGCUAACCGGUACUAAUGAACCGUGAGGCUUAACCUUACAACGCCGAAG